rnacentral:rRNA from 1 species
AUGGAUCUUGGUGAAACCGUAGGAAAAUUUUUGUUUUCUGCAACGUUCCCCAACACGCAUCGCCAAGGCCGAUCGCGGCUUCGAUUCCGAAAUGAAGGCCCUGCUAAACGUUCGGUCAUGCACUCCGUUAUUUCCUCGGCCACCCCCUCAAUUGUAUGCUUGCAAGAAACGAAGCUUUCUACCGUCUCGUCGUCCAUUGUCACCGAAGCUUGUGGGCAGGCCUUCCGCAGCUUCCACUUUCUCCCGUCCACAGAAACCCGAGGCGGCAUCCUCCUCGCAUGGCAG